AUAUCACAUCAUCCACGUACUGGGCGUAGUCCAUAAAAUUCCUAAGCAAUUUGUGAUUUCAUUUGUGUGAGGAGCAUAAAUUGAUGUAUCCUUAAGCGAUCCUAUCUUCACUUCACUGUAAACGGUAACGCUUCAUUUUGAAUGUUUUACCGUUAUCACCGAUCGCAUGGCGUUACGUCUUACGACCGCUUUACGUAGUGGAUCUCUUCUGCUCAGCGUUACGUGCUGCUGUUUUUCCGACAAAAGCGACAACACGACCAAUAGCUUUGAGACCGUCUCACGGACUGAUGAUAGACCCAGUCGCAGUCGCAGCUUCAGUUUUCGAUUUCCUAAUAACGAAAAGCUAAGAAAAGAGCAGCAGCACAGCUCAGAAACAUAACAGAAGGAAAAAACGCAAAAUAGACGACGUCUUCGGCGAGUGUAUGGGUGCUCUGAAUGAAUACACAACGAUAAAAGACCGAUCCCCGAUCCCCCAGUGAUGAUUCCACUUCCACGCGAGACUCACAAUCCACAGCGUCGGCAGCGACGCCAGCUGCACCAGCGACGCCAGCAGAGGCAGCGACCGAGGCAGAGGCAGAGGCCUAGGCAACGAUGCAAUAAAUCGAAGCUAAUACACUUCUUUCUUAAUGUAGAGCGAUCCAGCGAACGUGCUCACACCGAUACACGAACACAUGCAAAGAUGCUCUGGCCUAGACGAGUUUCGAACGGUAAAUGAGGGGCCGCCAGCCGAGCGAUCCGCGCGAUGCAUCCUGCCUGGUUUUACUCAAUGAAAAUUCCAAAAGCGCUAGACCUGCAUCCAAAAACUGGGUGGAGAUCUUCCGCCCCAGCGACGAACAGAGAGCCGAGCUCAAGACCCGAACCCGAACCAAAGCCGAUCUCGUGGCCGCUCCACUUGGGUUCCACAAACGCCGAGAUACUGUAUCUGAAAAGUGAGCGUGAAGCAGUCGCCGCUGGAAGCUCGAGCAGGCCACAAGCGGACAACAUUCUAGUAACUUGGGGAGGGAGAGGUGCACCGAAAGAAAAAUAGAUUACUUGUGGGUUAAUUGGGGCGAUUUUUGUUUAAGGAUACACGGAAAUGUAUCUUUUGAAUUUAAUUUUAAGAUGCAUUCAUUCUUUAAAACAGAUUCACCUUGCUUUCUUAGGCUUUAAUUGAAUCUACACGUUAUAGAUUUGAUCAGUAUUUAAUUAUUUUACAUAGCUGCUGGGAUAAUCACACUUAAAACUCUAUUGUAAAUUAUUAUAAACUAUGAUAAUAUACUCUUGGCGAAAA